AUCUAUAUUCGUAUUUUAUGUCACUGCCACCUUUAAACUAGCUGAGUUUACCGAAGUAGCUAGCUAACUAUCAGUUUAACAUGUAGCAUGUACUGUUUAACCAUGAAAUUUAAAUGUAAAAUACGGUAAAAUAAUUAAUAGGGCAUAUUUAGAUGGGUAAUAGGGUAAAACCCAGUGCAUUUAAGAUAAAAAUGGGUUGAAAUAUGACGGAGCGCUAAGAGGGAGACUUCUGUGUCCAUUCUUCCAUCCGGUAAUCCCCAGCGGUCAGGCCGGGCAGCCUGACUGAUCCGGCGCCUACUUGCUGCGCCUAGCUGCUGCGCGGUCUGACCGCUCGUGGAGUUUUUCAUGUCUGACUUUAACCGCAUCUACCGUAUUACGGCGUGAGCGCAACAGCGACAACUUAAUAUCGAUGUGUAAGCAGCCUGAGUGGUAGGGUGUUUUCAUCUGAACCCUUAAAACCUCCAGCAGGCUAUGCUGCACUAUUGACGUGUUAGCGCGCGGCGCUAACAACUUAGCAACGUGACAUGUCUCUGAGAAAGCGUAAAACACGGACGCUUCUUCUGAAGCGGAAAAUAACACCUCUUCUUAAGCAGAGCAGGAUGUCGCCUUGGCUCGUUCACGGCCGAGCCGGACUGAGCUCGAUAACAUUGACCAAGCACAGCCACUGGGCCGUUGUAGCUGCCACCAGGCCUGCUGAAGGAACUCCAGCGGGUUUCAUCAGACUCGUAAAGUUUCUUGUUUUUGCUGGGGAUUUCUGUAUUUUACCGCUCCCUCCUGCAGUCUUCCCCUAUUAAAAUUUAAAAUGUGUAACUUUAUGUAUUGUGAUGAAUGACUAAUAUUCAUGUAAAACUAAAACGUUAGGCAUUUAGGGGGAAAAAACAAAAUAAUAAACAUUAUACAGAUGUCAAAUAAAUCAAACUGUAAUUAAACUAUAUAUUUUCAAAGUCAUAUAGACAGCAUGAUGGUUUGUGUGAUCCGCGCGGUUUCACUUACACCCCUUUAAUGAUCAGGCUGUUUUUUAUUAUUUUUAUCAGCUGAUAGCAGUUAAAAUUAUGGUAAAAAAUACUUUUAUCUGUUUUUGAUAACUUAAUGCCCAGGAAGAGCAUCUUCCUGGGCAUUAAAUAUAACCCAAAUGUUUUAUUAUGAGCAGAUCUGAUGAAGGUUUAGACAAGCAGUCUGCAAAGUAAAACUUGUUUAGAGUCCAAACUCUUACUAAAGCUUUUAAAAAGAAAAAAUGGUUGAAUUUUGAGAAAUAUCCACAACAGGGGAGCGAGACCUCUGAAAAAUGUAUAUUUUCUCUGAAUUCAUAGAAUAAUGUGAAGAUUCUGGGAAAAGUUGGGAUUCUGAGAUUAAAACGUAAAUCUUUCUAAUCAUAAUUCUGGCAGUUUUUGUGUCCUUCUGCUGUGGAAAGUCGUGCAACAUGAAGAUACUGAGAAGAUGCUUACAACCUGUAUUUUUAUUCCAUCCAUAAAUAAAAUCAUGAGCUAUUUUUUUAAUCCAAAUUUGAUACAAAGGGCCAUCGUUGGUUCCAGACCCGUUCUAGAACAUUCCUCUAAUCUUAAAGUCAUCAUCAGUUUCUUCCUUUUAACAAAUAUUUAUUUGUUCAAAUAUUUAAUAUUUAUAACUGGAAUAUUUGUUCCUCCCUCUCCCACUGCAGUUAGUCCUGUCCUGCAACCCUGUUUUUGCAGCUUAGUGAAGCCAACCAUCACUAACCUGGGGGUGGUUUUGGACCCAGAGAUGCGGAUGGACUCCCACAUUAGCCAGGGAAGGACCUGAUUGGUGUCCAGAACCUGCUGAAGAAGCACCAGGCUCUGCAGGCUGAGAUCACAGGUCAUGAACCUCGCAUCAAGGCUGUCACCCAGAAAGGAGAGACCAUGGUGGAGGAAGGUAGAGCAGGUCUGGUCCUGACAUGUUUCUGAGGUGUCUGCAGGUUCUGGCUCACUUUUUUUGGGUCCAGGUCACUUCGCUGGUGAGGAAGUGAAGACUAAACUGUGGGAGCUUCAUGGACGUUGGGACACGCUGAAGGCCAAGGCGUCCCAGAGGAGGCAGGACCUGGAGGACUCUCUGCAGGCCCAGCAGUACUUUGCGGAUGCUAAUGAGGCCGAGUCCUGGAUGAGGGAGAAGGAGCCCAUCGUUGGAAGUCCAGACUAAGGGAAAGACGAGGACUUGGCCGAGGAUCUCCUGAAGAAGCACGAGGCCCUGAUGUCGGACCUGUCGGCUUAUGGCAGCAGCAUCCAGGCCCUGAAGGAGCAGGCCCAGUCCUGCAGGGACCUGAAGGCCAACGAGUCCCGCCUGAGGGACAUCAACAAGGUGGCAUCUGAACUGGAGUCAGAAGGUCUGAUGGCUGAGGAGGCUCCUAUGGUUCAGGCUCAGCAACAAGAACAUCUGGGUUCUGCUCCUGGAAAGGACGAAGCCGACUCUUAACACGGCGUCACCCUGGAAGACCGUACGGUUGGGCGUUCAGACGACGGCUAACUUUAAUUCCAUCAAGGUAAGAGGAAGCUCUUCCCUUCCUGUCUGAGCGAUCCGUCUCCAGGUUUCUUCGUCCGGCGUCCAGCCCGCUGGCGUCCACCUUCAUCUCACCUUCAUCUCAUCUCACUUCAUUUAUAGUGCAAUACUUUCACAUUAUCAUUUUCCCACACUUCUGUAUACCUGUAUUUUGUUGUUUUUCAAUAAAGAAUGACAAAUUA